rnacentral:rRNA from 1 species
AUUGAACGCUGGCGGCAUGCUUUACACAUGCAAGUCGAACGGCAGCGCGGGCUUCGGCCUCGCGGCGAGUGGCGAACGGGUGAGUAAUGCAUCGGAACGUGCCCAGUAGUGGGGGAUAGCCCGGCGAAAGCCGGAUUAAUACCGCAUACGACCUGAGGGUGAAAGCGGGGGACCGAAAGGCCUCGCGCUAUUGGAGCGGCCGAUGUCGGAUUAGCUAGUUGGUGGGGUAAAGGCUUACCAAGGCGACGAUCCGUAGCUGGUCUGAGAGGACGACCAGCCACACUGGGACUGAGACACGGCCCAGACUCCUACGGGAGGCAGCAGUGGGGAAUUUUGGACAAUGGGGGCAACCCUGAUCCAGCCAUGCCGCGUGCGGGAAGAAGGCCUUCGGGUUGUAAACCGCUUUUGUUCGGGAAGAAAUCCUCUGGGCUAAUACCCCGGGGGGAUGACGGUACCGGAAGAAUAAGCACCGGCUAACUACGUG